rnacentral:tRNA from 1 species
AGGACUGUGACUCAGUGGCAGAGUGCUUGCCUGCCAUGCACGAGGACCUGGGUGUGACUCCCAGCAUCCUC